rnacentral:rRNA from 1 species
UGGGGAAUUUUGGACAAUGGGGGCAACCCUGAUCCAGCAACGCCGCGUGAAUGAAGAAGGCUUUCGGGUUGUAAAGUUCUUUUGUCUAGGGGUAAGUGUAAUUGUUUAAGAGAUGAUUAUAUUGAGAGUACUAGAAGAAUAAGCACCGGCUAACUACGUGCCAGCAGCCGCGGUAAUACGUAGGGUGCGAGCGUUAAUCGGAAUUAUUGGGCGUAAAGAGUGCGUAGGCGGAUAUAUAAGUUAGAUGUGAAAUCCCUGAGCUUAACUUAGGAGUGGCAUUUAAGACUGUAUGUCUAGAGUAUGUUAGAGGGUGGUAGAAUUCCAAGUGUAGCAGUGAAAUGCGUAGAGAUUUGGAGGAAUACCGGUGGCGAAGGCGACCAUCUGGGGCAAUACUGACGCUGAGGCACGAAAGCGUGGGGAGCAAACAGG